UACAGAGGUCUCAAGCGUUGUUCGGAUUCAUUGGGCGUAAAGGGUGCGUAGGCGGCGCGGUAAGUCGGGUGUGAAAUCUCGGAGCUUAACUCCGAAACUGCAUUCGAUACUGCCGUGCUUGAGGACUGGAGAGGAGACUGGAAUUUACGGUGUAGCGGUGGAAUGCGUAGAUAUCGUAAGGAAGACCAGUGGCGAAGGCGAAUCUCUGGACAGUUACUGACACUGAGGCACGAAGGCCAGGGGAGCAAACGGG
rnacentral:rRNA from 1 species